GACGAACGCUGGCGGCAUGCUUAACACAUGCAAGUCGAACGGGAAGGCCUCUUUCGGGGGGUACUCGAGUGGCGAACGGGUGAGUAACACGUGAGUAACCUGCCCUUGACUUUGGGAUCACUUCAGGAAACUGGGGCUAAUGCCGGAUAGGAGCUCCUGCUGCAUGGUGGGGGUUGGAGAGUUUCGGCGGUUGGGGAUGGACUCGCGGCUUAUCAGCUUGUUGGUGGGGUAGUGGCUUACCAAGGCUUUGCCGGGUAGCCGGCCGGAGAGGGUGACCGGCCAGACUGAGACUGAGAGAGAGCCCAGCCACAUACGGGCGGCAGCAGGGGGGAAUAUUGCACAAGGGGUGGAAGAAUGAUGCAGGAACGCCGGGUGCGGGAUGAUGGCCUUCGGGUGGGAAACCGAUUUCGCUUAUGACGAAGCAUUGUGUGACGGUAGCGGGUGAAGAAGCACCGGCUAACUACGUG
rnacentral:rRNA from 1 species